UCUGCCGCAAAACCUGCGGGGGGGGGUGAGGCUUUUGGAUCGCGCUUUGCUGUUGAAAUACGCGAAGUUCCGUCUACGAGACUGCUAGGAAAGGUCUUUCUGCCUUUUCAUCGGGCCUACCCAAGGGAUUGUUGCCAUUCCAGUCACAAAGUAAUUAAAUGGCGCUUUUUAUUGACAUAGGCCAGUUCUCAACAAUGGACAUAAUAACAGGAAUCAAGCAACAUUUUCUGAAAUUGUUCCCUUAAUACAGGGGUAUCAAACUGCCAGCCCGUGGGCCGGUUGCAUCAUGUGGAGGCUGCACCCACCCCAGCUCUGGCAAUGCGAAAAGUCAUGAUACGUCACAACACGGCACGUGACACGGCGAGUUUGACACCCAUGCUUUAAUAGUUCAGCCAUAAAUAAGGUUGAAGCUCCAGGAUAAAGGAUGGGAAUCUCAAAGUUAAGAGAAAUUUUAGAGGAAUCCAUUGGAACUGGAAUAAGGAUAGGUUUUCAACAAGAAUGUCCAUUAGUCACAGGCAGUAUGGAUGGCCAGUGAUAAAGGAUAUGUUUCAUAACAUCUACAAGACACAGGUUUGCUCACCUCAUUAUGAUCUCUUCAGUUCAACUUCAGAUUUUCUAAAUAUGUUGUUUUAAUGUCCUUAAUUUUAAAUAUAUUCUGUAUUUUUAAUACAAUUUAGACAUUGAUCUGCAGAAGUACAAAAAUCAGCAUCUAUAUUAAACAUUUGUCAAAGCAUUUCCCAUCCAGCCCUAGUAGGUUUCAAAAUAUAAAAACUAUUGAUAAACCAUAAAAAGGAGGAAGAAAAAGCUGAAGGUAAGAAACCACGUGAUAAGCACAUUUCCAAAUAGAGGGGGUGUAAGAUGGCUCUAUUUUGAGUCCCUUUCUCACAUUUUCCUCCUUUUCAGAACCAAAUAAUUUUUAACGAAACUUCCUAUUUACCAAUUAAUGCAUUCCUUCCCCAUUUCAAAGACCAUAUCUACAUUCUUGCAUAGAGUACAUCCUUACAACAUGAAAAACGCUCAUGAAACCAUACAAAUGAAUCAUCUUCUCUGCUGUGUCUGUUUCUUGACCAGGUCUGUCUCAAAGGCUGACAUGUUCUUUUCCAUGUGUCUAUAUAGCUCGCUAACUAGUUAUAUAUUAUAUUUAUAAUCUAUUCUGAAUAUCUACUCUUAAGAUGUUUAAAAAUAAACCAAUAAAGAAAGACUUCCAACCCCCACCCUAUACAUUCCAUUUACAGUAUUCGCUUUGACAGAGGCAGUCAUCCAAGGGCUGCCAGAUCUCAACAGCAAAAAUCUAGAGAAAACAAACUUUUCUCUCCAUCGCUUUCCUGCUGUCUAGUGAUUAUCUGGAUUUUGCAACCCAGAUCUGGUAAUCAUAUUUCUACUGUACAGUAUAACAUUAAAAUAAGAUAUGCUUUCUUGCUUCUGUUUCUAUCAGGGUUGAUAGAAUCACUGUGGAAUCACUGUUUUCUGUUUUAAAAUGUUAUGAGGGCAAAGAAGAGAGAUCAUUCUAUGAGAUAAUGUUUUAUAGAUUUUUAUCUAAAAGCCAUUCAUUUUUUAAAACACAAAUUGGAGAAUGACGACAAAAUAGAGAAUUACUUGUUUCAAUAUUUUUUCUGAACUUCCCUUACUGCUUUUUGCAUAUAGGAGUGAUGAUGAUGAUGAUGAUGAUGAUGAUGAUGAUGAUGAUGAUGACACAACAUAAGAAAUUUAGCUGAAAAUAUUUGUGUGGAAAAAUGAAACAAACAAUAAGAUUACACUAGAGCAUUGCUAAGAAAAUGUGUGCAUGGGGCAAAACACUAAUGGCACUUAAGAUACUGUACAUUCAAUGAUCCUUCAAAGCCAAUUAAGCAAUUGUGUCACCUGAGAAAUCUUUUACCACCCCUUUGACAAUAAAAAAUGGAGUAGUUCCUCUUUGAAUUAUUUCUGUUUAGACUAGGCCCCUUGAAAUCAAUAAGACUGACAUUUUCCAUAAUUAAGCCCAUAGUUUUCUGUCCAUCUCGACUGAUUUAAAACCAUAAGGCUUAAUUAUGUUUGCUUAAAAUAAUAACUUAAUUACCAAUACAGCUUUUUUAUAAUAUACCUACAGUACAGGAAUUUUCAGGAAUGGGAUAGGGGAGCAAGUGAUAGAAAGUGCACUGUCGUAUCAUGAUAUAGACCCCAUGAUAUACAUGCAUUUGACAUCAGAAGGCUUGUAUGAAAGGCUAGGGUUUGUGAUGUUACUAUAUGACAUUUAUUUUGUUAGUCUUUUUGUCACUGAAGCUUGUAAUGGGCUCCUAUGAAGAUCCCAGAAUUCUUGUAUGAGAUUAGUGUCUCACUUUGCCUAAGGACAGGCCGAGCAUGAAGUUUACAAAAAGCAUAGUAAGAAGUAAGAGAUAUUUUUGAUUUGGUGGUAAUAGAUUGAGUCCCUUAUGGCAGUGCCAUGACUGAAAAAAGGAGAAAAAGAAUCAAUUAUUUCUUAAUUGCGCUACCAUGAUAUAUUUCUCUUGGUUAAUAUAUUGAUAGUUUACUCAGUUCAGUUUUCUAGUUUUGGAGCACAUACUGCCAUAAUCAUCAAAAAAUCGCAAAGGCAAGGUUCACAGUACAUAUUAGGCUUAAGUAUAACUGACCCGUGUACACAUUAGUCAUGUAACUAAGCAUUUGUCUGCAGUGAACUACUAAAGGAACUACUAAAUAUAUUUUUCACAUACGUGCAUUUGAUUCCAUUUCUAUUUCUAGCAAUAAAAUUUGAUAGGAGUAAAAGUAUAUACAUGCAGAGACAAAUCAAACUUUCUGCUGUCGUACGAACUGAAGCAUUUCCUCAUUUGAUCACAGAGAAUUCUGAGAGCAAUUUCAAUUGCACUGCCUGUGGUGGUGGACUUAGGUGAGGAAUUUUGAUGCUCAAUUUGUCACUUUUGCCUGAAUUUGACAGAAUGACUUUGAACUAAUCAUCACUGUCUAUGUCAGCCUAUCUUACUGAGUUUGUUGAAUAUGUAACAAAUUCCAUUUUAUGUAUGAGUAACUUAGCCGCAGUUCAAUGCUAAAGCAAGCAAGCUAUCCCUCUAUCUUCAGACUGAAGAGUUUAUCAUGUUAUUCUUGUUAGUUAUUAGAUAUUUAUCCCAUAUUUAUUAUUUUAUAAGAAACUCAAGGCAGCAAACAUACAUAAUAUUCCUUCCUCCUCCUAUUUUCCCCACAACCUUGUGAAGUGGGUUGGGCUGAGAAAGUGUGACUGGCCCAACUUGUUUUUUAGACAAUUGUCACCCUGGAAAACAGUUAACUUUAAUUAAGGGGGAGGGGUUGGUGCUUCUUCUCAGGGUUAUACAGAUACUCCUCAUCAAAAGCAUUGGGUUUCAAAAGAACCUAGCAAUUCUUCAAUAGUUUGUUGAGUGACAUCUAACCUAAGGAGUCCAUCAUCAGACACUAUAAAGUUUUGAUUACUUUAUAAUAUUUUUCUGUGAGGUCUUCUUGGUAAACUACAGAAGUGGUUUACCAUUGCCUUCUUCAGUGCAGUAUAAAACGAUGCCUUUGCCAUUGUCACAAAAAUGCUCACUUGUCUCCAGCAUUUUCCUAUACUGCUACUGGCCUGAUACAGAUCCCUGUAUGCUUUAUCUGGGCAGCUGUGGUGACCUUGGGUGAUCUUGCUGGGAAUAUAUAUUCUUGGCAUACACUUCUGGUGUUCUUUGCUUAUCUUACACCAGGAAAAUAACCAUCCCAUCCCUGCCAUGAUAAGGAAGCAUAGGAUUUGAAGUGUGCAGGUAGUCCUCAGCUUACAACUAUUCAUUUAGUGAUUGUUCAAAGUUACAAUGACACUGAAAAAACUACUUAUGACUACUUUGCACUUACAACUGUUGCAGCAUUCCCAUGGCCACAUGAUCAAAAUUUGGGUGUUUGGCAAUUGGCAUGGGUUUUUGAUAGUGGCAACACCCUGGGGUCAUAUGAUUGCCAUUUACAAUCUUCCCAACUGGCUUCUGACAAGGAAUGUCAAUAGUGGAAGCCAGAUUCACUUAAUAACCUCUUGGCUCAUUUAACAAUUGCAGUGAUUUGCUUAACCAUCAGAAAAAAGAUCAUUAAAUCAGGCACAAUUACUUAACAAACACCUUGCUUAGCAGCAGACAUUCUGGUUCCAGUUGUGGUGGUAAGUUGAGGAGUAUCUGUAUGUAUAUAUGUAAUGUAGUAUAAUGUAAUAUAUAUUCUGUUAUAUUAAUAUAUGAUCUGCAUUGAAAAUUCAGAUGAUUACAAGAUGACUAUGGAGAGAUAAAGUCUCUUAAUGCCAUUUAGCCAUCAUCCAGAUUUUUAUAGUUGCCUCCCCAUCCAUCAUAUAUUUUAAGCAUGACUUUCAAUAGUUUUACACCAUAAUUUUACACCAUAAGGGAAGCAAAUUAAUAAUGGAUCCAAUACAUACAAUACCAUUGAAAAUAAGAAAGACAUUAUUUAUUAGUCUGGAAAAUAUGUAGCCGAAUAACAAUUUGAGAACUGAAAUCUAUUAUUUAAUUUCUGAAACCAAUAAAGAUUUAUAAGAAAAGACUGAAAUUUCUUUAAUAUAUUUAUUUUGGUUGAAAAGGUUUUUCAAAAUAGAUUAAUCACUGAAAUGUUACUGACAAGAAUGCCUAUCUCACCUCUAUAUUUCCCAUUACAUCGUUUUAUUCAAAAUAGCUUCUUUGCUUGUUGAUUUUAAAUUAAAUCAGUAAAUGAUUCAAUUAAGAUGCAACACUAUUCACUGUCAAUACAAAAUGACUCACAGGAGUUUGUGUGGAAGACUAGCUGUGGCUGGAAUUUAAUUGUGACAUGCAUGACCUGCUCAGUUGCAUUCUUAAUACAAAAUUGUCAACCUGAAAUCUCACAGCUUUUGCUUCUGCCAAGCUUGGUAGCUUUUCAAUUGCAUUUUUAAUUAAACAUUUCUUUCUUUCCAGCUGUUUCAAUAAAAGGCAUUAAAGGAAAUAUUGCAAUUAGAGUGUCAGGUUAUCCUUGAAAGCAACAUAGGGACUAACAUUAAGUUACACAAUAGCUAAUCAGUUUCCUGUGGCUGAAAACAGCAAUAAGCAAGUUGUGGAAGUCUUACAUAUAGCUAGUAGGUAGCUCACAUGGUCCAGCAUGUAAUUGCACUCAGUGUUGGUUGCUUUUUAUCAUUUAUUUAAAAAAAAAAGCACAGAAACUAGAUCUGACAUGAACCCAUAAAUUUACUAUCUCACAUGGUGAUCCAUUAUGUUGGUGAUUGAUUCUUGAAAGACAGCUUCCGGUCAGGUUAGAAAAAACAACAAAUUGUUAGAACAAUGGAUUAUGGAUUAGAGCAAUGGAUGCACCAGUCUUAACUUAAUCUAAGUAGAAAACAGGUGUUAAUAAUACAUAUUCUUUGAGGUAAGGAACACUGAAAAUAUGAGAUGAGAAUUUGAUGCUAGCCAAUAAAACAAGAUUUAUGACUUUGUGCCAUCCAGUUGUGAUAAACUACAAAUCCCAUCAAUCAAAUCUUACCCAAACAUAAUUUGUUAUUCAGCACAUCUACAAAGCAACCAAUUGGUUAAUGGUGUAGUAAAGUUUGGCUAAUAGUACACUAUAUAAUUAAACUCAAGCUCAAUUCUCAGCUAUAGUAUAGGGCAUAUAUAACACUAGUUAAAUGUGUUUUAAGCUAGGGUUAGAGAAAUUCAUAUAUAUAUAACAUUUAUCUUAAUAGUGAAACAGGACGUAUAUCUUUAAAACUUGCUUAUUUCUGAAAAUCCAGGUUUUGGGAAACUAACAGUUGCAGUGGUAGACUAUCCCUUCCCAUGUGACUUGUGGAUUUGGCUGGCAUUAAAUUGACCUUUAAGAUUUGUUAGGCAUUAGUGGUAUUCCUUUCCUAAAUUGAAACCAAGAAGAAUUUAAAUGAAAUCAUUCUGUAGAAAAGAGUCAUCUUAAGCGAUUAAAGCGAAAUUGCUAUAAGUCACAUUUUUUUGGUUAUUUAAAGCAACUGAUGUAAAUAGGGAACAUAAGCCAUCAGACAUUUUUCUUAGUCAUUAUAAUAUCCCUUUAUUUUAGUAAGGCUUCAAUAGUAUUUGUGAACAAUUUUGCACAAUGUGUAGAAAUUGUGUAAUAGGUAAAUGUAACUAACUGGAUUUAUGUAAGAUUGAUCUCAUUGCUACACUUUGUUUCCAAAGAAAAAUGUAUCAGACAUUAAUUUACAUUCUAUUUAGCAUUGUCAUUUAUAAUACAUGAAUCAUAUCCAAUGAACCAAAAGUCUGCAGUUUGCCAGUUGUGACAAAAAUUCUUGAUUGAAAUUAUAAUGGCUUAUCUUUCGCUGAACAAAUAUUCUUUUUAAAGUAAAAUAUGGCCAUUAAUAAAAUAGAUUUCCUAUUUGUAGUUAAAAAAAUCCUGAUUUUUACUCAAUGCACAACCCAAUUAAAUUAAAAAGCUUGGACCUUUGCCAAACUAAUCACAUUGUCUUCAAUUGAGUUUAAUCAAAUCUGAGAACUUUCCUUAUGGCUUAGGCUGAAAAUGCAGUAAUAAGAAUUACUUCAAGAUUAGCAAAAAAAAAAAAA